UUAGUGUGUAGACUGGGUCCUCAAGCGUCAUUGGAAGAGCUGUGCUGUAUACAUAUAGCGGCGCUUGGAGACCAGGCAGUGCAAUCAAAGCCAGGCAAACCAGGGGGACAGUAAGUGGAGCUGGAGGCGAGGGUCCCCGCAGCACUCAUACUGCUAAUACCUGCUGUCAUCCAGCUUGACAUGGCAGCAGUAAGGCAGCCUAAGAGGGGAGGACACAAAGGAAGUAGAAGGCCCCCUAGCAACGGGGGAAGAAGCCGUCCCAGUGCUUCCUGUGUAGCUGAAGGUGGAGCCGCUGCGGAUUCUGGGGCAGAGUGAGUGUGUCUAUGAUUCUAUCAGUGGUACGGAGGCUACAGUAUUGACACUGAACUGGAUAUAAUAGUAAGAGGCAGUCGGCAGCUUAAGCAAAUCAAACAAAACUGAGGCUGUAUAUAAAGUGAACAUAAGGCAGACAGCCACCCUGAUUAUAGGAUUUCAUUGGGAUCCAUACCAUUUAAGGUGAAUACAGCCAUACCUAACAGAGGUGGGGUAAACCCAGCAGAGUUAGAGACUGAGUUGCACAGUCACAGUUUGCAUAAGUCAAGAAAGAGUCCGGGGAGUGAGCGCUGCAGCCAACUGGUCAGGAGGUGUGUAAGUGACAAUCAAUAGCACUGGGCCUGGGGAGCUCACAACAAACCUCACCAUAUUCCUGUCAGUGUGUUACAGACAUUUCAGUCAGCGGUGGGCAGAGAGAGAGGGAUAGCACCCGAAUCAUAAAACAGCUAUAACCACUGCAGCCACAGCAUCAGAGGCAGACAGAAAAUCAGGGACACUCCAUAAGACUUAUACAUAAGGGUUAAUGAUAAGGAGGUAGCGGAUUGGAGGACCCUUGUUAACCCUUGCUGUAUACGGGUGAAGAACCCAGUAGUGUAGCUCAGACCAAAGAGGAUUUCGCAAAGACAAGGAACCUGCCAAGAGGGCUACAGAAAAACACAACACACUCCCUCCAGCAAACUGCGAUACACCUAUAAAAGGUAGAACUGGCAGCAUCCUAAAGAAGAAAUCUCUGCACAGUGGCGUAACUACCACCCCUGUCUCCACUGUGGAGGCUUGGAGGCACAGGACUGUUGGGGUGCCUCCGUUGAUUUAGGUAGAUUGACAUGAGGACUAGUCGUCCGCACGUCAAUCUGCUAAAUGUCCCUCCCAAAAGGGGCCACCACCAUGGAGGAGAAAGAUGCUAGAGGUCAAACUUGACCUCUAGCAUCUGACAGAGCCAGAAUCUGGGAGCAUAUAGCUGCAGCAACCUUACACCCUUGGCAACGAGCCUUACACACCCAGUGCAAGAAACCCCUGGCAACAAGCAUUAACUCUUGACAAUGAGUAUUACACACCCAGCAAAUGAAACCCCUGGAAAUAAGCAUUACCCCUUGGCAACAAGCAUGAAAACCCCUCGGCAACGAGCAUUACACACCCAGUGCAUGAAACCCCUGGCAUCCAGCAUUGCCCUUUGGCAAGAAACAUUACCCCUUGCAACAAGCAUGACACCCAGCGCAUGAAAUCCCUGGCAACGAGCUUAACACCAAGCACAUGAAAUCCAUGGCAACAAGCAUUACCCCCUGGCAACGAGCAUGACACCCAGUGCAUGAAACCCAUGACAACAAGCAUUAUGCCCUGGCAAUGAGCAUGACACCUAGAGCAUGAAAACGCCUGGUAACGAGCAUGGAACCAAAAGCAUGAAACCCCUGGCAAUGAGCAGGUAAUUUAAAAGUAAUUAGAAGCCUUACUGUGGGGCAUAAUGUCUAAAUAGCUUUGCGGUGUGUAGACAGACUUCAGAAAAUAGUGCGCAACAAAACCAAAAAAGCUGCUAAAAAAUGUACAAGAAUGUGCAUCCAAUUACACACACAAUAGAACAAAUGGUAGAAAAAAUGCACAUCGAUAAUAGCGCUAAUUGGAAGUCAUGUAUUUGUUAUGUAAACACCACUGUGAAAAAAGGUGAGCAUAAGAAUGCUAAUUCACCAUGGACUGAGGGAGAUGUCCUUUCAAACUCCUCUUAUAUAUACACAGUUCUCCUCCUCCUGUAAGCUCGUCAAGUGGCAGCUGCAUAAGAUCCUGAGUCUGCAAGACAAGUGACACCUCUCCCCUUCUGUAUGAGGGACUGUUUUGAGGGACACUUUAAACAACGUGAAUCAUAGUGCAGUAUAUCUUAAAAACAGAGCAUUUAUUUUACACAAGACGCACUUACAAGAACAUUUGCGGUGUGUGGCAUAAUGUAUCACGGACAUUACGGUGUGUGGCAUAAUGUAUAACGGGCAUUGUGGUGUGUGGCAUCAUGUAUCACAGGCAUUGCAGUGUGUGGUAUAUUGUAUAACCAACAUUGUGGUGUGUGGCAUAAUGUGUCACAGGCAUUACAGUGUGUGGUAUAUUGUAUCACGGACAUUGCGGUGUGUGGCAUAAUGUGUCACAGACAUUAUGGAGUGUGGCAUAAUUUAUAACCGGCAUUGCAGUGUGUGGCAUAAUGUGUCACAGGCAUUACGGGGUGUGGCAUAAUGUAUCAGGGGCAUUAUGGUGUGUGGCAUAAUGUUCAAGGGCCAUUGAGGUGUGUGGCAUAAUGUGUAAUGGGCAUUACUAAAAGGAGGAAAAAUUACAAUGAAUGGGGCAUCAAUCAGGAUUUUUUUUUCUGUGGUGGCCAAUGUCUGUGCGUGUAUGUUGCAAAACUGGGGUAUAACGUAGUCUUUUCCUGCAAUGCCAUGCCCCUUGCAGCGAGGCCACUCCCCUUGCAGCGAGGCCACGCCCUUUUCACUUUACCUAAUGGCAGUUGGGCGGGGGGGGAAUUUUUUUGGCUUGAGGUAGAAAAAUUUACAGAUAACGCCAUUGUCUCUGCAUGAGUUGUGCUGCCCCUCCUCUAUUUUUAUCUUUUAAUUAAAACACUCCAGGCUGACGCUGUGAAAUACUGUGGAUGGAAUUUGAUGCUGCUGUAGUACGAAACCCCUUUAAGUAUGUUCAUUGGAAACACUGUAUCAUUACGCAAAGGCUAUUCUCGCAAGCUGAAUAACUCCAUUGGAUAUUUGAAACCCGUAUUGUUGACACAAAACCUUUUUCCACUCAUUGCACACUCAUUGACCAAUCACAUUGGGUAGUUUAUAAAUAACAUCAUCCAUUUAGUUAAAUCAGUGGUAAAGGGUUUUCCCUAUGCAAUUCUUAUUUAGAGUCAGAAUUGUUUUUAUAAAGGCUGUAUCAGGGUGAGAAGUGUAUGUCAAUGAAUUUGUGUAUUUUAUCUGACUAUUAAAUUGUGAAUUAAUUGUUAGAGAAAUAUACUGUC